rnacentral:rRNA from 1 species
GAUGAACGCUGGCGGCGUGCCUAAUACAUGCAAGUCGAGCGAACGGACGAGAAGCUUGCUUCUCUGAUGUUAGCGGCGGACGGGUGAGUAACACGUGGAUAACCUACUUAUCAGACUGGGAUAACUUCGGGAAACCGGAGCUAACACCGGAUAAUAUUUUGAACCGCAUGGUUCAAAAGUGAAAGACGGUCUUGCUGUCACUUAUAGAUGGAUCCGCGCUGCAUUAGCUAGUUGGUAAGGUAACGGCCUACCAAGGCAACGAUGCAUAGCCGAACUGAGAGAGGGAUCGGCGACCCUGGAACUGGGACACGGUCCAGAGUCCUAAGGGAGGCAGCAGUAGGGAAUCGUCGGCAAUGGGCGAAAGCCUGACGGAGCAAGGGGGCGUGAGUGAUGAAGGUCUUCGGAUCGUAAAACUGUGUUAUUAGGGAAGAACAUAUGUGUCAGUAACUGUGCAGAGCUUGACGGUACCUAAUCAGAAAGCCACGGCUAACUACGUG